rnacentral:sRNA from 1 species
GGCGUUGUUUCUUGCGAAUCAUGAUUUCUUUCUUGGACUCCGGGAACCCCAUUCCCUGGAAAACCUGCUGGGGGAAGAAACCACGCAUCGUCUCCCGGAAUUUCGUCGGGCACAGCCACCGAGGGGACAACGGUCACCCAAUCAUCAUCAUCCCUAGCCCCAAAAGCGCCUUCAGGACUUGAUUCCAAAAAAUCAGCGCCCUGGGUCAGAUACACGUCUGCGUCAAAGAUGAUACCGUCCCUCCUUGUAUCUCUUCCUGAAGACUCCGCUUGAUCCCACGGAUUGUUCUCCUCCUGCCAGACACGUUGAAUCUCGCUUGAAGGGUCGAAUCUUCUCUGGCGGUUUGCAGAACGCUCUUCAACACUGUCGCUACCAAGCUCAUCACGAGUUCGGCGUCGUCGCAAAGCUGCAGCAAUACUUCGUGGACCAUCCACCAACGAUUGCGCUCGCGGAUAAAGACUCGACGAACGAUCUCCCAGCGCAACGAGCGGCGAGGUACUAGGGGGGGCGCUGUUGAGGAUAUCACGAGUGGUCCGCGAAAACGACAAUGGUCGCCGGCUCCCGACUGAUCUAAGAGGAAGCGGCCGCACAGGCCGAGGUUCAGACGCAGGGGCAGAGUGUGUGUACUGCGACAGCCACGAACGGCUAGCACUGGAAAGCGGACUUUGUCGCAAACCCGGAGGGGCUACAAGCUCUUGCUGCGGACUAGCCGGCUGGGGUUGUGCUGCCAGAUUAGCAGAGUCGGAACCGCGUGAAUGAUUUCUCGAGUAUUCCGGACGGUCUUCCGAGCUAAAGGACUGGAAUUGCCAAGGACGCGAAGGAUCAAAGACAGGUGGAGGCAGAUUGACGGCCAUGCGAUGCCUCCGCUCUGGCGAAGGAAAUCUGCUGGCAGAAGGUACUUCGACAUCGGUCAAUUCGAGUGCGAAUGGUUGUGGCUGUACUGAAAAAAGCUGUUGGCCAAUACUGGGCACUGAAAACGGAUUACUGUGUGGUGAAACACUACCGGAAGGACGCAUGCCUUUGACGUCGGAGUGUACAGCCCGAAGUAGUUGACUGAAGCACUGUUGGACAACUACGCUAUCCGGAU